UACAGAGGUCUCAAGCGUUGUUCGGAUUCAUUGGGCGUAAAGGGUGCGUAGGCGGCGCGGUAAGUCGGGUGUGAAAUCUCGGGGCUUAACUCCGAAACUGCAUUCGAUACUGCCGUGCUUGAGGACUGGAGAGGAGACUGGAAUUUACGGUGUAGCAGUGAAAUGCGUAGAUAUCGUAAGGAAGACCAGUGGCGAAGGCGGGUCUCUGGACAGUUCCUGACGCUGAGACACGAAGGCCAGGGGAGCAAACAGG
rnacentral:rRNA from 1 species